AAUUGGAAAGAUACAUUUUGCAAGUCAAUCUCUCAUGUCAGUACUGAAUGUGCACUGGAUAAAUAAAUCACACAAGAUUUGCACACCACACAUGUAUAAGUAAACAUCAGAAAAAUGACAAGUAAUGAUGGAACAAUUAUGAAGGAAAAAGAAAACCACACAUACAACAAACACUUGCUUGAAAGAUCAAAAUACCCUCUUCUUUCAAAACAGAACAAAGGCAAUUAGAAGGCACCAACAUUCAAGAUUCUGGAACGGAGGCUGCUGCACGUUUGAUUGAUGCAGACUUGAUAAGAUGAUUGUAGCUCCCUUUCUCCUUAAAAAGCUGAGAGAAAUGGUGCUUGCAAUACAAAAUGCCCUCAAGGGCUGCAUAAUUUGAUGGAGUUAUAGGACAACCACCGUGUGAACACUUGAAACAUGAUUUGUGAUAGGCCUGGCUUUCUACUGUCACCUACAUUCAGAAUAAGAUAUAUGUUAAAACAUAGCAACAAGGAAACCAAGACAUUCUAGUUCAGGGUAACCGUGCAGAACUGCAGAUUUAUAGUAAUUAGAUUUACUCAUUCGGGCAAUUAUUGACAAAUGGACACAGCAGAUUCUACAUUUUGGCUAUAUGUUACAUUUUCUCAUUUCAGGUGAUCUAGCCUCUUAUAGGAGUGGAGACUAGAUAAGUGAUAUAACUAGUUUAGGACUCUUGAUUAGAAUAAACUAUUGAUGAAACUUUUGCUAACUUGAACCAAACAAAUGUUUUCCCCAGUUCAAAUUUGGCUGGAGAGAUAAAGUUUAUUCUCCCGUCCCAGUGAUCAAAAACUAGAUUUAACUGACACAGAUACAACAUACAAAAAUAAAAGACAAUGUUAGUUGAUAUUGCGCAAACACUAGUUGUGAACGUCAAUUUCCUAAUCAAUAUGCCCUUCAGGUCAUGUAAUUGAAGAUAUUAACAGACAUACUUCUGCUUUAGCCUCCAGUUUAAACCAACCCCGCAAAAAGCUUUAUGUUAUGUACCAGCAAAGAUUUCAUUUUGGGGUGUUCGGUUUUAUGAUUUUGUGGGUUGGGGAAGAAGUUUCAUAUCUAUUCAUAAAUCACGAGCAAAGGCAACUUCUAAUUUCAUGUUUUUUAAGGACCGAGAACUGAAUCAUAAUAUAGGUUUUAUCAUCUUUGGCUCAGAAAUAACACAAAUUUCUUCGCUACAUAUAUCUCCCAAUAAGAUAAUGAAGUCAUAUCAAAAUCUACUUGUGGUCUAAAUAUUGAAAAUGAAGUUCAGACUUCUAUGAUUUUGAUAGCAUAGCAUAUGACAGUGUAAGAUGGAGAAAAUCAUAUGCUUCAUGCUUUCAAUGGGGCAAAGUUGUACUUCAUAAGGCAUUCACAAACUUCGGACUAGUAACUGUUUGAGUAUGUAAAGAUUGACAAUGUUCUUCAAUCACCAAUAUCAAUAACUAAAAAUGUUGGAGAUAAUUUUUCCUUCAUAAUUGACAAUUUUAUUAACGGUUUAUACAAAAAUAAUCAAUUCAACAUAAACUCAUUAUAAAUUUAUUUUGUACAAUUAUCAGAUAUAGUUGUUAAAUGAGACAUGAUUGCUCCUUUCAUUGUUGUCAAGCUUCUUGUCCAUGUCUUCAUCAUGUGAUUAUAAGUACAUAUUUCAUAAUACCCGAGAUAUCCCUCUUUGCAUCCAACUCUAUAAACGAGGAAUUCACAAACUUAGGACUAGUAACUCGUUAUUUUCAUAAUUUUCAAAGGACGUAUAUUUUACAUUCAAACAAACUCAGAAUGCAUUGUUAAAAGGUAAAUCUUAUAUUUUCAUUCAACCUAAUUUUUCCCAAAGAUUCUAUGGCAAGAUUGCUAAGGUACAUCAUUUACCUGAAGAAUAUAAUUCUUUGGGUGUUUCCAAAGAUGUUCUUGAAUACUUGGCUAAAUAAGGUAAGGUUUUAUCUUCAGCCAACAGAUUGAUUCUUUGUCGGAAUACAACUAGUAACUCUAAAGUUCAAAUGUUAAUUAGCAACCCAUCAACACAAACUUGAUUGCCAAUUACAAUACCGGAGCAACUGCAACAUAUGAAUGUUGAUGCAGACCUUACAGCUAUCCUUGAAUGCAAUGACAAGUAAAACUGCAAGGUGUAAUUUUUUAUGAUAAGGCAGAUGAGUUUUUGUCCUCAUAUUGUGAUUGUAAAAUUUAUAUAACAAAGGAAGGUAUUUGGAAGGUAAAGGAGGAAAGUCUUUUUACCGGCAGUAGGAACUUCAAACUUUGAAUGUCAAUCUUUUGCAACGCCGCAUAUGUUUAUUUCAUCUUAGAUUAAUUCUCUUACUUGGUAAAAGUUAGUUUUUAUUUUAGGUCUUAUAUCAUGUCUUACAAUUUUGAGAAUGGAACAACAAAAAUGUUGAGUGCGCCAAAAGAAGUCGGAAGGAUUCAAGUGAUACAAGUUGUAGCAUGAGAAUUUUUAAAUGGGGAAAGAAUAAAAAUUCAACUCAAUCGAUUUGUUUAACGAGAUUUAGGAAAUGUGUCUUUACAAUAUGGAUUCUGACCAACUACGAAUCAAGUUUGUGGAAAGGGUUUGAAAAUGAGGGUGAAAGCAAUGGGUAAGAUGGAGAAAGAUCCAUAUUGUUAUAAGCUUUAAUAUUUUGAAUGGCUUAACUUUGAUGUUUUCUACUGAGAAAUAUUUAUAGCUAUGGCUUAAACUUGAUCGAAGGAAACUAUAUAAAGCAAACUCAUCUCUCACAUUCAUGCUCACAUAUUUCCUCAAUUUCCAUAUAGCUUUCAUCGGUUAAGCUUAAGCCAAAGCUAUAAAUCUUUCUCUUUGUAGCAAACAUCAAAAGAACACCAUUAAAAAUACUCAAGCUUGUAAGAGCGGGAUCUUUCUCAUCACUCUCAUUGCUUUCACCCUUAUUUUCAAAACCCUUUUCAACAAAAUUGAUUUUUAGUUGGUCAAAAUUCAUAUUGUAAAACACAUUUCCUGAAUCUCACUAAACAAAUGGAUUGAUUUGAACUAUUGUUUUUCCCCGUUUAAUUUUUUUUAUGCUAUAACUUACAUCAUCAGGACCCCUUAUGGCUUUUUUUUGGCACCCUCAACAUUCUUGUUGUUCUAUUCUCAAAAUUAUAAGACCUAAAAUAAAAACUAAUUUUUAUCAAGUAAUGGAAGCAAUAUGAGAUGAAAUGAACAUCUCCAUUGUAAAAGAUAGACAUGCUAAGUUAUUACUAUUAGUUCCUACUCCCUAUAAAAAGACUUACCUCAUUUACCAUCCAAAUACCUUCCUUUGUUAUAUAACUUUACAAUCACAGCAUGCGGACCAAAAGUCAUAUGCCUUAUCAUAAAAAAUACACCUUGAAGUUUUCAUUGUCUUCGCAUUCUAGGAUAAUUUUAACGCCUGCGUCAACAUUCAUAUGUUGUAGUUGAUUUGGCACUGAAAUUGGUAAUCAAGUUUCUGUAGUUGGGUUACUAAUAAACACAUUUGAACUUCAGAGUUAUUUGUUGUAUCAUGACAAAAAAUCAAUAUGUUGGCUGAAAAUAAAAUCUUAGUAUAUUUAAUCAAAUAUUCAAAAACUUCUUUGGAACCACUCAAAGAAUUGUCUUAUCAAGUUAAAUGUUGUAACGUAAGAAUGUUGUCAUUGAAUCUUUGCGAAAAAUUAGGUUGAAUGAAAAAACAAAACUCAACUUUUAACAAUGCAUCUUGAGUUUGUCUCGAUAUAAUAUAUACGUCCUUCAAAAAGUUUUAAAAGAUGUUGUUACUAACCAAAAUUUGUGAAUGACCUUUGCUGCUGAUCAAGGUGAUAUUUCAAUCAAAAUAUCACAAGGGAUUGAAACCAUUGUUGUCUUUAUAAUCAAAGAAAAAUUGAAGCCAAGCUGUUUAGAAGAGAAUGAUUGAACAAAUAGUCUUUGAAUGACACUAGUGGUUCCGUAAAAAAAGAAAAAAAUGAAGGGAAAGGUAUAGAUGAAUGACUUCUGCAACGUCAAUGCUUUUAUAUUAUGAAUGGGAAUUGGUUUGCCAAGGUAUCUGUAUGAUCCUCCAAUUAUCAUUGCUUUCAAUUCUCAUCAUAGACAAUAAAGUUUAGCAAUUUUAUUUCCACUAUUUCUCUUAAAACCAAUGAAUACUUGGUAUUUCAUUCAUUUCCGUUGAUCAAGUCUUGAUUGACAAGAAUGUUAGUAUAUAUCUUUUUUGUCAAGACAAGAAUGUUAUAUUUGAUAUCUUACACUUUGUUCUGAAUAAAAUAAAACUAUAUAUUAUCAUUUAUUUUCUUCAUUAUAUGUGCAUUAACAUGGAAUCAAGAGAAUUGAUUCCGAUUUGAUGUCAUUCAUAUUCUAGAACCACUUUCUUAUCACAAUGGAUAUAAUGACAUAAUCAUGUGGUAGCCAAUCAUUCAAUAUAUAGCCAUGCAUUUUUCACGACUGUGUAUUAUUUACUUCAAGUGUACCAUUACCCUCCCUGUUUUCUGUUAAGUUAGAGUUGGAAGUUUAACUCUUCUUUUAUUAAAGCAACGCGCAAGCGUUCACAUAUUCGUGAAGACAUCCUUCGCUUGAUAUAGCAAUGCUCUUUUUUUUUUUAUAUAUAUAUUCUUACGAAACUUUUUUUUUCCAUCGAGAGGCGUUUAAUGCAACAAUUCAGUUUUUCCAAGUUUUCAUUUCCGUUUCAUUGAAGUGUUGCAAUUUUUCACCAAGAGGCAUUUAGGAUGUCAAACCUUCUUGACCACUUUAUUCAUUUUUCCGGUUCUUCUAAAUCAUGUGGGUUUGGAGAAUGAUAUCGUAACCAUUUUUAUGGCUGAAAAUAGAUAGCUAUCAAUGGCCAUUUAUGCCACCCACUUAUCAGCUAGCUUAAACAUGCCCUUCUUAGUAGUGUUUUAAAUAGCUUUUCGGAAGACAGCGCAAUUAGCUAUGACUUGGUUGUAAGAGAUAUGUUAUUUACAAAUUACAAUACCUCUUGCUUUUGAUCUCCUUGACUAGAGGAAUUUACAAAUAAACAAAUAUAUUGCGGCUCACAUAUCAUCAUAAGAAUUUUCCAUAUAUAUGAUGGAGAUAAGGUGUAGACCUCCUCAGAUAGCAUGCAUCUUUUCUUUUUGUUGAAUGAAUUUCUCUAUGCGUGCUCCUUCUGAAGCUAAUAUGUUUAGAUCAUGGAAUACUUUCCCAACCAAUUAUCUUUUAAUUGCGGGUGCAUGUCAAUGAUGGUAAUAUAUAUUACAACUGAAAUUUAGAUAAGUUCGGAUAAAAUAGAUACAAUAUACAUGAUAAAACAAACAUCAUACAAUACACCUGAUAAAAUAUGUAUACCACAAAACACAAUAGAUAAAUGAACAUGCAGACACACUAUACCAGCAUGAAAUUUUGUUUGUAAUCAGAAAUUCCACAAGCUAUCAUUGACCACAUGUCCAGUAGAAGCUGGUGACAAUUCUUGAUUCUCUGACAACUUUUGAAACAUGCCAUUUCCAUAUACCACAGAUGAGAUAUCAGCAUCAGAGUCUCUCCCAAAAGAAAAGAUGUUCUUUGAGGUUGUUCCAAUAUUCUCAUUCUCCAACUGCAUCCUCAACAGCAAUUGUUCUUGAGAGAAGAAAAAGUUUGACGAAUUCCCGACCAUUGAGGUUUGGUUCAAAUCAGCAGCUAUUACUUCAGCUAAAGGAUAAACAUCCAAUUGUUUUGAAGAGGAUGAAAUGUUCAAGAUACUAGUUUCAUUGUUAUGAACAAUGUUGUCAUCUUGUGAUUUUGGUUUCACCUUGUUUUGAGAGAAAUCAGAAAGAGUGGUUUGGUUUUCACUAUUGUAUGGAGAAGAAUCCAAUAAUUGAGGCAAUAGAGAUUCAUUAGUAUUUGAUGGUCCUUCUCUAGAGGAGUUAAACCUUCCAUGUUUUGAACCAUCCUUUUUCUUUCCACAAUUUUUCUUCUCAAAGACUCUACUGAGAACCCAUUCACUCUACAAAAAAAAAAAAAAAAGGGUUAACACCAUUAGAUAUGAAAAACAUUACUAUAAACAAAACAAAUUUUGUUUUAAUUUUUAUUCAUUAUAACAGUUUUUUUAAAUACUAUUUGAAAGAAUAUUAAAUCUGCUCCAAACAAAAAGUUGUUUCCGGUAGUUUCUCUAAAAGUUAUAUUUCUUAAUUGAUUUUUUUUUUAAAAGUUAUUUUUAUAAUGGUAAUCAAACAGAAAAUAGUUUACUUUAUUUAGAAAAAGGAAAUUAAUCUCUUAAUUAUAUAUAUAUCAAAAUCACUAUUUUUAUUCUUUAUUACAAAUAGAUCAUCGGUGAAUGUUUGGAUCGACGAUAAGUUUGACAAUAAUGACACGGUAAUUUUGUUAAAAUUCAAAAGUAAAGUUUUUGUCAAAAUUACGGUAACACAGGGUAAUUUUAUCAAACACACGGUGAAUGUGAACAUAGACUAACAAAUUUUCACAUAUAGUAAGAGUAGAAAUCAUAGAAAAAAACAAAUAAAAAAAUUAUAGCAAUACUAUCAUUCCAUGUGUGGAUAGGUUGUGCUCAGAGAGAGUGUUACCCUCCAAUCGGUAUUCAUGCAUGACCCAAUUGGUUUUUUCACCACUCGGAGCUCUUCCUAUGUAGAAAACCAAUGUUUUUUUCAUCCCAAUUAAUGCAUUUCCCUUGAAAAUCUCUUUGUCUUUGCCUAUUGCUUUCCAGUAGCCUGCAUUAGUAGCUCUAUUGGUCCUUUGACCAGUUGGGUAUUUUCUCUCCCUCACACAGAAAAAAUACCAUUAAGCUUCUCCCAUUUUAGCCAUUUCUUAAUAAACCAGAAAAUAAGAAAGCGUAAUUAAGUUAUGAAACACCGAAAGACGUACAUACGUUAGACAUGACACUGACAAAUCCACACUCGUAAUAACUUUAAAAAAUAAAAUAAUUGAAUUUAACAACAUCUAAUAGUGACAUGUUGGUGCGGAUACCUUACAUGAUAUGUCGGUGAUUCAUAGUAAUUAAGAGAAAAUAUAUAACCAUCAAAGUAAGAUAACGACAAUAUUUCUAAGGCGUAAUUAAACCACUCGCUUUUCUCCUUGCCAAAUCCUAGUGGUCACCAUUUUUCUUCUUCUUUUUCAUCUAGAUCUACUAAUGAAUGAUGUUUUAGGGUUAAUUUUGUCCCGAAAUCACCAUUCCAAUUUUUAUUUUAUUUUUGAAGUUAAAUAAGCGAUUUCCACAUAAUUGAAGUCUUCUUUGGUACGUUUUUAUGAUUUCACCAUCUUAGUACGGCAUUGUUUGUUAUGAUUUCUCGUUGUUGUAGUGUUUUCUUGAUUUUUCAUCUUAAUGCAGUGUUUAUCUGAUUCUGGUUGAAAGAUUAGCUUUGAUCAUGUCUAGAUCUAAUUAAUGACUUUGGUGCCAUCAAUGUUACAGAUCUGUAGGAAUUGUAUUUUUGACACUUGAAUAUAGUCAUAUUUGUAGUCUUGUGUAUUUUGAUGCUUUUUCACAAAUUCAUCCCUUUGGUUUUUAAUGGCUUUAAAUGUAUGUUAUCAAUGUACUCUAUCAACGUCGUUUAUUUUUUCAAAAAAAAAAACCCCGUCGUAGUUUUUCAAAUCCAGACUACUAAUAAAAUAUAAUAACAACUAAAAUUUACUUAUAAAAAACAAUAAAUUCACCUGGCAAAUCCCACGGUUCACACUUAUUCAUAUCAACUUCAGCAAUAGCUAUAGCACAAAAGCUAUUGUCAUCAACCUUCUUGACAAGGUAAUGAUUUAUAAGCUCUUCAUCGGUCGGAUAGAAUCGAAAACAAACCGAAAAUUUGACCUUUUCAUUUUCCAUUUUUUGAUUGGAAACAUUCUCAUUUGAUCCCAUCCUGCAUUAAAAUCCUUUGUUUCGUCAAAGAAGGAAGUUAAAAACUAAAUAGAACAAAACCAAGCAUAAAAAAUUUAUCUCUGCAAGUCUUGAUAAAAUGAAUGACUAAUACCAACCUGUUAAAGUUUGAAAAAUCGAGAGAGGUGUGAUGAGAAAAAAAAAUAUUUGGUUGAAUGAUGUAACUAAAUUUAAAAAAAAAAAAGAGAGAGAAGAGAGUGAAUGAUGUGAGAUACGGUUUGUUUUGAUGAAAUUGAUAAAGAUGUUGAGUUGUAAGAAUACAAAACUCCUUAAAUGGUGAACUUUUAGGUAUGCAAAACGUGACUCAUAAUGAAAUUUUAGGAGGGUUCAAUCUUUUAUACUUUUAGAAGUGUUUAUUGUGUUGUAAGUGUGUGAUUUAGUAUGUCAACAGUUGAAAGAUGAAAAUUGUGAAAUGAUGAUAAUGAAAAAAUAACUGAAUAAUAAUAAAAUAGGUUAAUUAAGUUUUUCGGCCUACGAAAAUUUCAAAUUUUGUCUUCAAAUGAAUCGCUCUUUUUAGUCCUUACUAAAUUAUUCUUCAAACAGUUUUAAUUUUGUUGUUAAGUCAACAUAUAUUUUUAAAUGACUUUUUGUAAGCAUGUUUAGAACAUUAAAAAUAUCAUCCAUGAAAAAUCGGAUUAAAAUUUAAAUUCUAGGUCUAGAUUUUUAUUACUUUUAAAUGAAUUGUUUGCCUUAAAAUGUUUAUAUUUGAUUCAUCGCAAGUUAAAAUGUUCUAAAUCAUAUGAGGAGAAACAUUUUAUAAUGGUCUAAACUUGUUUGCCAAAAAUCAUUUCAAAAUAAGUGUUAACUUCAAAAGGACUAAGAUUGUUUACAGAGGCUACAAGGGUAUAAUUUGUUCUUUUUCUUUUACGGAGGCUAAUUUCAAACCUCGCCAAAUUACAGAGGUUUUUUGAGGUAUUAACUCAUUCAUAUAUGAUGUAAGAUAAACAUUUAGGUGUGCUUUAUACUUUCCUAAAGAUACAAUACGGAUCGUAAUUGUCUGCAUUUAAGGUGGAAAAGAUUAUUGAAACGUUCAGUCAGAUAUACUUGAAAGCACAAAUAAUAAAAUAUCUAAUUUCGAUGCACUUUUACAGAAACAAGAUUUUUCAUGUUUCGGUUGGAACUGACGUUUUGAAUAGUUGGAACCGUAAAGUAACCAAAUUAUUAAAUUGGGAGCCCACAUUUUUAUUGAAAUUAUUAAAAGCCGGAAAAAGUGGUCGUUUAUCUGGUUUCCUUUGUUCUCCUGUGCUUUUUUAAUUAAAAAUAAGGAUCAAAACAGUGUUGUUUUGAGCCUCAUUUUCUUCCUUUUUUCCCAUUUGUUUAAAAUGAUCCAAACGGACGUGGUUUUGGCUUCAGUCAAACUCAAAUCCUUAUUUUCACCUCUUUCUCUUCGUGAUACAACCAUUCUUCCUUCCUUCUUUUCUUUCGGUAAAAAUAAAAUAGAAAUGCUUUCACAGAUGCUACCAAAACCCUUUGUUCCUCCUUCCAUACGCCACUGCUCCAUCACCUUUCACAUUUCUUCUUCUUCUUUAAGGAUGUCUACUAGUUCCUUGAUUCCUUAAUUGAGUUUUUAUUUCUUUCUAUUUAUAUUUUUAUGAUUUGUUUAUGUUUUUGUUUUCUAUUUUUUGUUUGUUGUUUUCUCAUAUUCUUUUUUCCUGUUUGUUCUCGGUAGUUCUUGAUCUUUUUUCUUCCCAAAUAUCAAUGUAAAAGUCAUUAUUAUUUUUUACGUACAUAUUUAUACUUUUUUUUUUUUCUUUUCUUGAUCUUUUGUAAUCACUAGCCUUAACUGCGGAUGUAGAGUAUGGUAUUUUGUAGAUACCAUUUUGUAUAUAUUUUUGCCUAUAAUAUGGGGGUGUACUCAGUUAAGACUCAUAAGAAUUCGAACCAGCACAAAUUGACCGCACCACUAUUUUUUCAGUGUCAUUACUGUCAUAUUUGAUUAUGAAGAAAUAGACCUAAAUGACUAUGAUGAUAUUUCUCCUAAAAAAAGACUAUGACGGUGUUUAAUUUCAGUGUUCUUAACGUAGCGUUAUAUAAUAUUUUAAUUGAUUAUGUGUGCAAAAUUAUUUUAGACUAUCAACCUACCAUCAUUAAACUCUUAUAUUAAUUGAACUUCAUUUUUAGGUAAUUUGAUUUGGAUUCAAAUUCUAUGUUUAAUGUUCUAAUGUUUGAAGUUUAUUUAUUAUACAAUUUUAAAAAAUGGUAUCUUUACUCAAUUUUUUUAUUGGUUACCACCAUUUCUGUGUUGAGGCGCUAUGCAAAACUUAAAUAAGAAGAUAAUGAAAACAAACAUAAUAAAUAGUGCAUAUAAAUUAUAAAGUGCGUUUACACGCUAAGCUUUAGGUUUGGUUUACACGCUAAGCUUUAGGUUUGAUUUGCCACCACGUGUCUAUACCAACCGGAAUAUUGUGAAAUCCUUGACGGAACUUAUACAUUCACACCAAACGUAUCGAUCGAUAGUAGUUUACAAAAUAAAGUUCUGUCAAUUUUCCUCGUGCACUAAAAAAAAUAAAAAAAAAUUUAGUAUUAUUUUCGACAGAAUUUUGACUCACAAGAAUGUGAUUUUUUGUCUCUUCUUUGUUGCCUCCAAGGUGUCUCUAUCUUAUAUAAAAUAACAGUAUUCGGUAGAAAAUGCAAUGAAAAUUACAUCAUGAAAUUGGAAAGAUACAUUUUGCAAGUCAAUCUCUCAUGUCAGUACUGAAUGUGCACUGGAUAAAUAAAUCACACAAGAUUUGCACACCACACAUGUAUAAGUAAACAUCAGAAAAAUGACAAGUAAUGAUGGAACAAUUAUGAAGGAAAAAGAAAACCACACAUACAACAAACACUUGCUUGAAAGAUCAAAAUACCCUCUUCUUUCAAAACAGAACAAAGGCAAUUAGAAGGCACCAACAUUCAAGAUUCUGGAACGGAGGCUGCUGCACGUUUGAUUGAUGCAGACUUGAUA
rnacentral:lncRNA from 1 species